CCCCCAGCUUACUCAGGCCCCCUCGGUGGCAGACUCUGCCCCAUUCAGGGGGAAGCGGUGUGGGUAGGGGCAAACGGAAGCUCCUCCGCUGCCCCCAACUCAGCGCCCUCCACGGCUCCAAGACCUGGAGAUAAUUCCAAACACUUUAUGCUACCGGCUGNGCCGGGGCGGCAUUCCCCCCCGCUUAAGAAACAGUCACCUGUGAGGGUGGGCAGCUGAGCACGUGAACUCAGUCCACCAAGGGGAAGUGAGGGGGCUUUGAGCUCACACCAGCUGCAAAGGUCCCUUUUGCCCGUCCUGCAAGGACCACCAGGUGUGAAGAGACCUUGCAACUUGCCUGCCAUCUUGUAUGAGCUUUAACCUUCCCUCUUCCUCUCUCGCCUGUCCUUCCUCCCUAUAGUGAACGGCCCUGGCUUUGGAUUGUCUCCCAUUUACCCAGGUGGUGUCCCCGGGCAGCCAGCCUAUGGCGGGAAACCUCCCAANCCCUAUGGCAUCUUGGGCUACAGAGGGGUGGGCCGCAAGAAGAAGUAGCCCCGACAGAUGGCACAGCGAUCACCUCAUGAACUUUGGUGCUACUGCGUGGUCUCGAAUGUACCCCUGCUUCGCCCCGCCCUGGGAAGAGCAGACGCCACCAGCUUCACGACCGCCCUGUGUCUUGCCCCACGCACCCCCUCCCCCCCGCCCCCCCUCUUCUGGUGCUACAGCCGUCCUUCCUUCGGGAUCACACCCAGCCACCCCCCUACCCCCUGGGGGCUUUGGUGCUGCAGCCGAGGGGGGCUGCUUCUGAGAGGGGGCUGCCAAGCACUUUAACCAGGCCUGUGUCCCGUGCCCACCCACGCGGAUCGGCUGCCAAGGCCAGUUUGCCCCGCUCGCUUCCCGGCCUAACUACGCAGCCCCCCCCGCCCCCCCCGGGGCCUCCUAAGCGCCGUGCCGGAGCCGCCGUCUCCUCCCUCCACACACACCCCGCCAGGACCAGGGGGAUUAACCUGGAUUCCGCAGCUGCCGGGUCCUAAACCGGAUUAGCCAGCCAGGCUGCACUCGGCAUCCCCGAUCCGGACCCCGGCGGCGCCUCCUCGCUCCGAACCGCACAGAGAGGUUGUCCAGGAAGGUCCGGCCCGAACCCGCGCCACGUUUCCGAUGUUUAAUCACUUCCGUGUAACUGGGAUGGGACACUUUUUAUAAAGAAGAAAACAGUAACUGCUUUCCAAAAAUAAGAUAAAAUUAAACAUGACUAAUAAAUAACUUUUUAAAGGAGAAANCUCUCUCUCU
rnacentral:lncRNA from 1 species